rnacentral:rRNA from 1 species
AUUGAACGCUGGCGGCAGGCCUAACACAUGCAAGUCGAACGGUAGCACAGAGAGCUUGCUCUUGGGUGACGAGUGGCGGACGGGUGAGUAAUGUCUGGGAAACUGCCCGAUGGAGGGGGGUAACUACUGGAAACGGUAGCUAAUACCGCAUAACGUCUUCGGACCAAAGUGGGGGACCUUCGGGCCUCACACCAUCGGAUGUGCCCAGAUGGGAUUAGCUAGUAGGUGGGGUAAUGGCUCACCUAGGCGACGAUCCCUAGCUGGUCUGAGAGGAUGACCAGCCACACUGGAACUGAGACACGGUCCAGACUCCUGCGGGAGGCAGCAGUGGGGAAUAUUGCACAAUGGGCGCAAGCCUGAUGCAGCCAUGCCGCGUGUAUGAAGAAGGCCUUCGGGUUGUAAAGUACUUUCAGCGGGGAGGAAGGCGUUAAGGUUAAUAACCUUGGCGAUUGACGUUACCCGCAGAAGAAGCACCGGCUAACUCCGUGCCAGCAGCCGCGGUAA